rnacentral:lncRNA from 1 species
CCAUGCAUUGCGCUCACCACUACCGCACCAAUAAAAGAGACUUUAACCACCAGCCCUUGGCAAGCGAGCCUUCAUUGGCGCCACCCUAUGGCGCCACCUGAGAGGUGAUUGGGGCGGUGCCAGGUUGGUACACGUGCCUUUCAUAUUCUUGUUUACAAUUUGUGUGGGGUUGCUGCAUAGAAGCACUGGCUCUUCAAUGUAUUAUAGCAAAGUGUGAUUAUCUAUUACAAGCAGGGGACAUCUAUUCAGAGCACAACUACAAACAACUGAUAGCAUAAAUUCUAUAACAGAUAAUUGAUCAUGUUGGACAAGUGGAAAAGCUCAAUCAGCAUGGAGGUGGGCAUUGUCAUGCGUCGGCGAGGAGCCUUGGGAGAUCAGCUCGGCGCCCUCGUGCCAUGGCUGCACCGUCGGAGAUGUGGUGUUCGCAUGGAGAAGACCAAGAUGCCACCUCUGGUUUCCAGCGCGAGCGUCACCAGUAGACAUGGAAUUACCUUUAACCCAAGACUUCCUUUGUCAGAUGUAAUAGUGCAAAACAAUUAACCUUUCAGUGUAAGAGGACAUAACCCAUAUUUAACCAUUUGAUUUUCUCCUAUAAGUGAACAAAAGGAUGUAUGUCAGUGUACUUGAAAAUAGAUCAAUUUGGUAACAAGACACCAUGAAUUUGUAGUACUGCCCAACACUGAUAACACCCUAAUAUUUAAAAUAAUUUUGGAUGGCGGGUGGACGAGACAAACUUUGUUGGCCUAUGAGUGAAAACAAAUAGUGUUUGCCUUAUUAAUGUUUUAAGUAAAAGAAUAAUUAACAGAGGCAUGAAUCUUGAGAAGAUUACCGAGGCUAAAUUGAGCGGCACACCAUCGAGAUGCACGACGGGACGACAAGCUCGGCUCCUGGCGAUGGGCGGCAUGUGGCCAUGUGCGUCCAUGCCUAAAAUGACCAGCAUCCCGACAAUGGCAAAAACAUGGCCGAACUUCUAAUCUGCGCACUUGAGCUGAUAACCCAUAUUUAACCAUUUGAUUUUCUCCUAUAAGUGAACAAAAGGAUGUAUGUCAGUGUACUUGGAAAUAGAUCAAUUUGGUAACAAGACACCAAAUUUGUAGUACUGCCCGACACUGAUACCACCCUAAUAUUUAAAAUAAUUUUGGAUGGUGGGUGGACGAAGACAAACUUUGUUGGCCUAUGAGUGAAAACAUAUAUUGUUUGUCUGAUUAAUGUUUUUAAUAAAAGAAUAAUUAACCGAGGCAUGAAUCUUGAGAAGAUUACCUAGGCUAAAUUGAGAGGCACACCAUCGAGAUGCAUGACGGGACAACAAGCUCGGUGCCCGGCGAUGGGCGGUAGGUGGCCAUGUGUGUCCACGCCUAAAAUGACCAGCAUCCUGACAAUGGCAAAAACAUGGUUGAACUUCCAAUCUGCGCACUUGAGCUGAUAAAUCUCUGGAGUAGAAGAUAAAGUAGAUAAAGUGAAGACUGCAUAUACCAACUAUGUGCAAAAUCUUGACCAAGAAUGAUAACAAAGACUCCAAUUCCAACAAGCAUUACCUGAUGCAGAAGAACAAACGUUGAAAUGCAGUUAAAUUUUGAACAAAAAAAAAUAGAAGUUCAACAAAACUAUUGACGAAUUGCAGCGAUGUAUAAUUACUUGUUAUAAUGUGGUGGUAUCACGGAAGAAAUGCAUUGAAACAUUAAGUUCUGCUAGGCAUAGUUCAGAGUUUUUUUGUUGGAAGAUAACAAUGCACACAUAAAUCAAUCUUACUGAAUUUGUUACAUGCCCACACCCGAAAUAUUAUGACUAUAAGCAUUUUUUAUCUAUUAAAAGAAAAGAUCAUUAGGAAACAGUACAAGCCACCCAAAAAAGGAUGAAGGAACCUUUUUAUAUGUCUGACAAAUGUUCCGGUAAUUAGAGAUAGCUUAGUCAAUACACGAUUGGUCACUUAUGAUCUGCACAUCUUAUCCUGCUUGACUACCACACUAUCUUGCAUCUUGGACCCAGUGUAACUUUCACAUUCAGGAAGUUGAUCCGGUUGCAGUGUUAGAGAGCACAUUUGCAUCUUAUCCUCAUCUUAUUCUCAGCUUUCUGAAUAUAUAAGCAGCAGAGCAUGAACAUGUAUAGGGAGAGGUGGUCGGGCCGCAAAGAGGGCAUCACCUUCGCAAAAUCGGAAGAGGUGGUCGGGGAGGCAGAGAAUCGACACAGCCGCCGGGUUCUUCGGCGGAAGACGGCGAGCAGGACGGGGAUGACUUGUUGGGGACGGAGGAGCCGGUCGGUGAUGGCGGCAGACGAGGGCGGGGAUGUGUGGUCGGGGACGGAGGAGAUGGUCCGCGACGGCGGCGGACGGAGGCGAGCAGGGCGGGGAUGGCUUCACAGCAUGGACGAGCGGCAGCUGCCGGCGCUGAAGGUGCGGUCCGCCAUGGCUGCUGCGUGCGGCGGCUAGGGUUGGGGGAAGGGGAAAGAGCCUCGAGGGUUGGGGGAGGGGNN